UACGUAGGGUGCGAGCGUUAAUCGGAAUUACUGGGCGUAAAGCGUGCGCAGGCGGCGCGUUAAGACAGGUGUGAAAGCCCCGAGCUUAACUUGGGAAUUGCGCUUGUGACUGGCGUGCUGGAGUGUGGCAGAGGGAGGUGGAAUUCCACGUGUAGCAGUGAAAUGCGUAGAGAUGUGGAGGAACACCGAUGGCGAAGGCAGCCUCCUGGGCCAGCACUGACGCUCAUGCACGAAAGCGUGGUGAGCAAACAGG
rnacentral:rRNA from 1 species